rnacentral:rRNA from 1 species
AUGAACGCUGGCGGCGUGCCUAAUACAUGCAAGUCGAGCGAACAGAUGAGGAGAUUGCUCCUCUGACGUUAGCGGCGGACGGGUGAGUAACACGUGGAUAACCUACCUAUAAGACUGGGAUAACUUCGGGAAACCGGAGCUAAUACCGGAUAAUAUAUUGAACCGCAUGGUUCAAUAGUGAAAGACGGUUUUGCUGUCACUUAUAGAUGGAUCCGCGCCGCAUUAGCUAGUUGGUAAGGUAACGGCUUACCAAGGCAACGAUGCGUAGCCGACCUGAGAGGGUGAUCGGCCACACUGGAACUGAGACACGGUCCAGACUCCUACGGGAGGCAGCAGUAGGGAAUCUUCCGCAAUGGGCGAAAGCCUGACGGAGCAACGCCGCGUGAGUGAUGAAGGUCUUCGGAUCGUAAAACUCUGUUAUUAGGGAAGAACAAAUGUGUAAGUAACUAUGCACGUCUUGACGGUACCUAAUCAGAAAGCCACGGCUAACUACGUG